rnacentral:rRNA from 1 species
AACAGAGGAGCCAAGCGUUGUCCGGAUUGACUGGGCGUAAAGCGCACGCAGGCGGUCGUGCACGUGGGGUGUGAAAACUGGCGGCUUAACUGCCAGAGGCCACCUCAUACGGCGCGACUCGAGCCCGUGAGAGGUCCAUGGAAUUGCCGGUGUAGUGGUGAAAUGCGUAGAGAUCGGCAGGAACACCCAGGGAGAAAUCAGUGGACUGGCACGGUGCUGACGCUCAGGUGCGAAAGCGUGGGGAGCGAACCGG